rnacentral:tRNA from 1 species
UGGCUGAGUGGUAAAGCGCUUGGUUUCUGAACCGGAGGUCACAGGUUCAAAUCCUGGU